rnacentral:rRNA from 1 species
GAUUAAGUUAUUAAGGGCGCACGGUGGAUGCCUUGGCACUAGAAGCCGAUGAAGGACGUUACUAACGACGAUAUGCUUUGGGGAGCUGUAAGUAAGCUUUGAUCCAGAGAUUUCCGAAUGGGGAAACCCAGCAUGAGUUAUGUCAUGUUAUCGAUAUGUGAAUACAUAGCAUAUCAGAAGGCACACCCGGAGAAC